GAUCCUGGCUCAGGAUGAACGCUAGCCACAGGCUUAACACAUGCAAGUCGAGGGGCAGCAUGGUCUUAGCUUGCUAAGGCCGAUGGCGACCGGCGCAUGGGUGAGUAACACGUAUCCAACCUGCCGUCUACUCUUGGACAGCCUUCUGAAAGGAAGAUUAAUACAAGAUGGCAUCAUGAGUUCACAUGUUCACAUGAUUAAAGGUAUUCCGGUAGACGAUGGGG
rnacentral:rRNA from 1 species